GUGUGUGCAGCUUAGUGGUAGAGCAUGUACUUAGCAUGUGUGAAGCCUUGGGUUUGAUCCCUAGCACACACG
rnacentral:tRNA from 1 species